UUCGGGUUAGUGGCGGACGGGUGAGUAACGCGUGGGAAUCUGCCCUCAGGAGGGGGAUAACGGUUGGAAACGGCCGCUAAUACCCCAUAUGCCGAGAGGUGAAAUGAAUUUCGCCUGAGGAUGAGCCCGCGUCUGAUUAGCUAGUUGGUGAGGUAAGAGCUCACCAAGGCAUCGAUCAGUAGCUGGUCUGAGAGGAUGAUCAGCCACACUGGGACUGAGACACGGCCCAGACUCCUACGGGAGGCAGCAGUGGGGAAUUUUCCGCAAUGGGCGAAAGCCUGACGGAGCAACGCCGCGUGAGGGAUGAAGGCCUCUGGGCUGUAAACCUCUUUUAUCAAGGAAGAAGAUCUGACGGUACUUGAUGAAUAAGCCACGGCUAAUUCCGUGCCAGCAGCCGCGGUAAUACGGGAGUGGCAAGCGUUAUCCGGAAUUAUUGGGCGUUAAGCGUCCGCAGGCGGCCCUACAAGUCUGCUGUUAAAAAGUGGAGCUUAACUCCAUCAUGGCAGUG
rnacentral:rRNA from 1 species